rnacentral:lncRNA from 1 species
CCGUAAUGGCUUUAGCAUACUUUCUCUAAGCAACACAUCCCACCUUUAUAAAUAAUUUUUUCUUCUUUGGAAUAUAAACACUCAUGAAACAAAUAUAACAUUGCUUUAAAGCUUUAGGAUGCUUUCAGUCAGAUGGCUCCAGAAUUAUAUUAGUUAAAAACAAAAUAGUUAAUAUAUUCAAUAUAUUUGCUACCGUAUUUUAAGGGUAUAAC